rnacentral:rRNA from 1 species
UACGAAGGGGGCUAGCGUUGCUCGGAAUCACUGGGCGUAAAGCGCACGUAGGCGGAUUGCUAAGUCAGGGGUGAAAUCCUGGAGCUCAACUCCAGAACUGCCUUUGAUACUGGCGAUCUUGAGUCCGGGAGAGGUGAGUGGAACUGCGAGUGUAGAGGUGAAAUUCGUAGAUAUUCGGAAGAACACCAGUGGCGAAGGCGACUCACUGGCCCGGUACUGACGCUGAGAUACGAAAGCGUGGGGAGCAAACAGG